UAAUUACAUUACUAAAAACAGGCUGUCAACGCUGAUUAUAUCAGCAAUAACUGCAACAAAACGUUUCCAGUAACUUUUGAUACGUCCUGCUUAUUGACUUGGACGAAUCUUUGCCCAUUCCUCUGUACAGAACAGCUUCAACUCUUGGAUGUUGGUGGGUUUCCUAACAUGAGCUGCUUGCUUCCUCAUCCUUCCACAACAUUUCAAUCAUUUUAAGGUCAUAACUUUUGACUCUGCCUUUCCAAAACAUUCACUUUAUUCUUCUUUAAGGUAGGUGGGUAUAUUUUGUCACAAUAUAAUAUAUAUAAUAGUAUAAAGUAUAAAUUGAGUUUGUAACUUCCUUCUGGUACGUAGCAGACAUUAUCAGGCUAAUAUAGAAGCAAUUAUAAAAAUGGUAAACAGAAAUAAACUAUGAUCAGUGGAGCAGUGCUGAGGAUGAACUAUAGUUUAAGAGUCUGAUAGCUUGGGGGGAAAAGUUGCUCUGCAGUCUGUUGGUGCGGCAGCAGAAACUUCUAUAUCUCUUCCCAGAAGGCAGCAGGAUGAACAGGCUGUGACUGGAUGUGAUGGAAAACCCAGUUGUGGCACCGUGCUGCCGCAGCCUCGUUGGAUGUCGGGUCUGCGCUGAGCCGUGGGCAACUACCUCGCAGCACUGCCCAAAAUGCAUGGGACGAGAUGUUCCAAGAAUUUUUUUUUUUAAUUACAGGGAUGGGGGAGAUUGUGAAUGUUUUGAAGGACACUAUUAGUUAGGGGAUUGUUUUAGUUAGUUUUUAUUUUAGGUUUAGGUUUUAAGUUAAGUUAAAUGGUUAAGUUUGGUUAUGUUCAUCUGUUAUGUUAUUUUAUGCAAUUAAUAAAUUGUUCAAUUUUA